rnacentral:rRNA from 1 species
AUGGUCGUCCGGCGAGGCGGCUGCAGGCGAAAGCAAGACGGGGAGGCUCGCCGGAGGAUGCGUGCGCUCGCGUGUGAGGUGGCCGGGGCACGCUGCCCGGGCGAGAGGAGGAGCCAGGAGGGGAGGAGGGAGGCGUGCUUGGCGGUCGUCCCUGGCAUCGGGGCAGGAUGCAUCGGACGCUCGCGCGGGCACAGGGGGGCGAGAGGAGAAGCAGGGGGAGGGAGGCGCUGUCGUUGUCGGAAUCGAGGAUGCAUCGGACGCGGGCGCCGGCGAGGGCAUGCGCUGCCCGGACGAGAGGGGAGGAGUAGGAGGGAGGCGCGGACGACGCGGUCGUCAUCGGGGCCGGAAGCGUCGCGCAAGCUUGGCCCACGUCGGCGACAGAUGCGGCAGUCCAUGGCGGCCCGGGUCGAUGCAGGAGAGGGACGAGGUGGCCCGCGUGAGGGCCGGGCGGCGCGCCACUGCUGGCGCUGGGAAUGGAGCGGAGAUGGGGGCGGAUCCGGCGAUUCCGCAGGCAGGGGGCGGCGGCGACCUGUACGCCGCGGGGUUACAGAGGUGGGUGGCGGCACGCUGUAG